CAAUCUACUAUUUUCAUUGUCGGUUAAAAAGAUUUUCAUUGUAGGUAUAAACAACAAAACUUGUUUGUACCGCAACCACCAUGUCAAGAAGCAAGUUCCCGUCAAAAGGAUGUAGAAAGAAACUUGAUGUUGAAGAGAGUAGACCUUGUCAUCCGGGUUACUUAUUUUAAAAAAAGGUGAAUUUACUAAUAAUAAUAGUGGUACCUGUGAUUAUUUAAGAACAAGUGCAAUAAGUUGACAAUAAGGAAAAAUCUUGAUAAUGUGACGUUUUUUUGAAAAAGAGCGGUGAAUGACCCCGUUGAAUGGCAUCUUCUUCUUCAAGUAUUAGUGAGGAAAAUGUUAUCAACAUCAUCAUCACUAAAAAAAUUUGACUGAGAGAAUGGAGAGAAAAAGCACAAAAUAUGAAAAUCUGUAAAAUUGUGACAUGACAAGAACAAUAUGGAUUGUUCUCUGCCUAACAGGCUUUUGCACAACAUUGGCCGAAUGCUACCUGGCUGUUUUAUCAUCCGAUUUACGUCCAGGAAGCAUUGUUUUCGAAGCCGGUGUACCACAAUUGGGAGGAAAACGAAAAUACGAAGUAUCAACCGAUCGAACAGCAUGGUUCGCAAGAAAAUUACUAAAAGUACAUUCGCACACAGGACGCGUUACACUAGCGAGAAAUUUAAAUUGUGAUGGUCUACAGUAUCCACGUUUAUUUACAUUCUAUGUGGAUUCCACCAGUUCAAGACUCGGUAGACCAAUGAUAGAUUACUAUAGUCUACCGUUGAGAGUUUUAAUAACAGGAUGCGGUGGUGAAAAUCAAGAUCUCGCAGCAACUACCGGUUGGAUGGCAGAAACCCUUGCAUCCUAUGCAAUGCCAAGUACAGAUAAAUUCACCGAGGUCUGUUUAAGAACAUCACAAUUAAUAGCGGCGUUGAGUGAUUUUUUACCACACACGGCAAUAAAGGAAUGUCAAACAAAAUGGGUAGGUGUGACUGAUCCAAGAUUUUUAAUCGAAAGUGGAACUGGUGAUUUAGUAUCAGCAACGGAACAAUGUUUAAAAGAUCCAUUGUGGAAAAUAUCAGUGUCAAUGUCAUUGAAAUGUGAAUCACCACAUUUGUCCGACGCUGAACAUAGAUUGAAAAUUGUUUUUCAUCAUCAACAAUUAGAUGAUUCCGAUUUGGGUAGAAGAGUGCGUCGGGAAUUACGUAAUCAAUCACCAUUUUUUGAGCAACCACUUUAUGUUGCCACAGUUGAGGAGGAGAAAGAACCUGGUGAAUCGGUGACUGUUGUUCGUGCAAAAGAUCCCGAAGGUGGAUUGGUUAGAUAUUCGAUGACUUCGCUUAUAAAUGAAAGAUCAACGUCACUUUUUCUUUUGGAUCCAGUGACGGGUAGAGUGACCACUCGUGCACGAUUGGAUCGUGAAAGUUUGGAAGUUCACUAUUUUCGUGUAUCGGCUGUUGAUGAUUCAUUUCCACCGAGAACUGGUACAACAAUGAUGCAAAUCAAUGUUUUGGAUGUGAAUGAUCAUGAACCAAAUUUUGAAUGGCCGGAAUAUGAGGCUUCAGUACGCGAAAGUGUACCAGUUGGAUCGACUGUUGUUGUUGUUAAAGCGACUGAUAAAGAUACGGGAAGAAACGCUGAAGUUGAAUACGCAAUUGUUUCAACAGCCGGUGGUGGAAUUACUUCAAUCUCGGAAGAUUCGUCAACAUUUCGAAUUGACGCCAGAUCUGGAGUUGUUUCAACACGAUCAGCACUCGAUCGAGAGAAAACAGAGGUCUAUACAGUAAUUUUAAGAGCCUCGGAUCUUGCCACACCGCCCUCGGCAAGAAAAUCAGCAACAACAACCCUUGUUGUACGUGUUUCAGACGUCAAUGAUAAUUAUCCACAAUUUUCCGAGAGAACUUAUUCGGUAACUGUACCCGAAGAUCUUGAUUAUACAAAUGAUCCAAUUAUUGCUAGAAUACGUGCCACUGAUGAUGAUAGUGGAAAUAAUGCUGCUGUACGUUACAAUAUUAUUGGUGGAAAUUUACAAAAUACAUUCUCAAUAGAUUCGCAGAGUGGUGAUGUUAGUUUAGUGAAAAAUUUGGAUUAUGAGAAUGCAAAAAAUUAUCGUAUUGUUGUUAGAGCACAGGAUGGUGGAAUGCCAGCGAGAUCAAAUACAACACAAUUAUUGAUUCAUGUUAAGGAUAUUAAUGAUAAUCCACCGAGAUUUUAUACGAGUCUUUUUCAAGAAGCUGUUUCCGAGGGCGAACCAGUUGGUUAUAAUAUUGUUCGUGUACAAGCAUACGAUGCUGAUGAGGGUGUAAAUGCUCAAAUUAGAUAUGUUAUUGGAUCGAGAGAUUUUUCUGGUGCAUCAACGGAGAAUUUUCCAAUUGCCGUUAAUGCUGAGACAGGAUGGAUUUAUACUGUCAAACAAUUGGAUCGAGAAUUGUGUUCAAAAUAUCAAUUUUCGGUGAUUGCCAGCGAUUCCGGUGAGCCACCACAAUCGGCGAGUGCUUCUGUGAUACUAACUGUCACCGAUGUCAAUGAUAACGAUCCUUAUUUUGAUCCGAAAAAUUAUGAGGUUGUUGUUUCCGAAGAUGUACCGGCGGGUACACCGUUAACUUCAGUCACUGCUACUGAUCCCGAUGAGGAUUCACGAAUUCAUUAUGAAAUCACAGUUGGAAAUACAAGAGGUCGUUUUUCAAUUACUUCACAAAAUGGUCGUGGAUUGAUAACAGUUGCUCAAAUGCUUGACUAUAAGCAGGAGAAAAGAUUUGUUCUGACUGUGACGGCAACUGAUACAGGUGGAAGAAGUGACACUGCUCUUGUUUAUGUGAACGUGUCGGAUGCAAAUAAUUUUGCACCUGUUUUUGAAAGAGCUCCAUAUUCAAUAUCAGUGUUUGAGGAUGCACCAAUUGGAACGACUGUUUUAAUUGUUGGAGCCACUGAUUCAGACGUUGGACAAAAUGCUCAAAUCACGUAUAGUUUGGGAAGUGAUGGCGGUGAUCAGGAACCAGCUGAAUUUAUUAUAAAUCCACAAACAGGAGCAAUUACAACAACACGACUUUUAGAUCGUGAACAAGUUUCUGGAUAUUUAUUGACUGUCACUGCUCGCGAUGGUGGUGUACCACCAUUGUCCGAUACGACUGAUGUUGAAAUUUCCAUCACCGAUGUCAAUGACAAUGCUCCUUCAUUCGAGUCCUCACAAUAUCAUGGUUCUGUUAUUGAAGAUGUUUUGGUUGGUACCAGCGUGCUGAAAGUUACAGCAAUUGACAAUGAUAUUGGACUGAAUGGAAAAGUACGUUAUAGUUUGGAAGACAACCUGGACGGUGCAUUUGUAAUUGAUCCUGUAACCGGAGUGAUACGAACAGCAAAAACACUGGAUCGAGAAUCAGUGGAACGGUACAAUAUAAAAGCAGUUGCUGUCGAUAGAGGUUCACCAUGUUUGUCAUCAUCUGUACCUGUGAUAAUAAAAGUCGAGGACAUCAAUGAUUCACCACCAGCUUUCGAGAGUGAUAAAAUAAUACUUUACAUUGCUGAAAAUUCACCAAUUGGUUCAAUAGUUGGUGAAAUUUAUGCUCAUGAUCCAGAUGAAGGACCAAAUGCAGUUGUACAAUAUUCAAUUAUUGGCGGAGAGGAUGCAAAUAGUUUUCAAUUACAUACAAGACCGGGAGCUGAUCGUGCCGAAUUAAUGACACUCGACGAAUUAGAUUACGAAUCAUCGAAGAAAAAAUACGAAUUAGUUAUACGUGCCGCUUCGCCUCCAUUAAGAUCCGAUGCACUUGUACAAAUACUCGUGACUGAUGUCAAUGAUAAUGCACCAGUUUUAAAAGAUUUUCAAAUAAUUUUCAACAAUUUCAAGGAUUUUUUCCCAAAGACUGCGAUUGGUAAAAUACCCGCUAUUGAUGCGGACGUUACUGAUAAAUUGAUAUACAAUAUUCUUGCUGGUAAUAAUGCGAAUAUGAUUUCAUUGAAUAAGACAACGGGGGAAAUUACACUCUCACCACAAUUGAAUACAAAUGUACCGAGAAUUGCAACAAUGGAAGUUUCUGUGACAGAUGGUGUUAAUGAAGUAAAAGCAAUGAUGACACUUUCGGUUAGAUUAAUUACAGAUAAAAUGUUAUUUAAUUCAAUUACUGUGCGUUUGGACGAUAUGACUGUGGAGGCAUUUUUAAGUCCACUUUUUGGAUAUUUUCUAGAUGGUCUAGCAGCAAUUAUACCGUGUCCAAUUGAAAAUAUAUUUAUAUUUAGUCUGCAAGAGGAUACGGAUGUUCAUGGAAAAAUUUUGAAUGUCAGCUUUUCGGCCCGUAGAGUUGAACCGGGUGCCGUUGAUGAAUUUUAUAGUCCACAAUUUUUACAGGAACGUGUUUAUCUAAAUAGAGGAAUAUUGGCAAGAUUGGCACGAGUUAUUGUGAUGCCAUUUGAUGAUAAUUUGUGUGUUCGAGAACCAUGUUUAAAUUUCGAGGAAUGUAUAACUGUAUUAAAAUUUGGUAAUGCUUCCGGUUUUGCAAGUAGUGAUACUGUUUUGUUUCGUCCUAUUUAUCCAGUGACGACAUUUUCAUGCCAAUGCGGAAAAGGAUUUACCGGUAGUCGUGAAUCGUAUCUUUGCGAUACGGAAGUUAAUCUUUGUUAUUCGAAUCCUUGCAAGAAUGGUGGUACGUGUCAACGAAAAGAAGGUGGAUACAGUUGCACCUGUCCUGUGAAUUAUAUUGGCGACAAUUGUGAAAUUUCUCUAGAGAACGAUGCAUGUUUACCCGAUCAUUGCAAAGGAGGUUCGCAAUGUCAAAUAAAGACGAAUGGUGGAUUUAUUUGCGAAGCGUGUCCAAUAGUUCCUUUGGAAAAUGUGACACCUCUUUGUGAAUUGCGAGCUAGAAGUUUUAAUCCAACGACGUUUUUAACAUUUCCUUCUUUGAAGCAAAGACAUCGAUUUCAUAUAACAUUGAAAUUUGCCACUGAAAAUGUAAAUGGACUUUUAUUGUACAAUGGACGGUAUAAUGAGAAACAUGAUUUUGUUGCUUUGGAGAUUGUUGAAUCGCAAAUUGAAUUUAGCUUCUCGUUGGGCGAUGAAGUGACAAGAGCAACGGCGAGGAUUCCUGGUGGUGUAUCCGAUGGUGAAUGGCAUCGGGUGGAAAUAUCCUACAUCAAUCGAACGGUUAUUGUAUCUUUGGAUAAUUGUGAUGUAGCUUUGGCAUUGAAAUACGGCGAGAAAUUGGGAGCAAAAUGGAAUUGUGCGGGUAGAAGUGAACAAAUGUUGGAAGCAAGAUGUAAUAUUGUCACCGAGACUUGUCAUCGUUUUCUCGAUUUGACGGGUCCUUUACAAUUGGGCGGCUUACCGGCAAUUCCAUCGAGUUUUCAGGUUCGAAAUAAGGAUUACACGGGAUGUAUCAGUGAUUUUUAUAUUGAUCAUCAGUUAAUUGAUUUGAAUUCCUAUGUUGCUGAUAAUGGAACAAUGAUCGGGUGUCCUGAGAAGAGGGCUUUUUGUGAAUCAACACCUUGCUAUCACGGUGGUAAAUGUCGUGAAAUUUAUUCCGGAUAUGUUUGCGAAUGUGAGGAAGGAUUCAGCGGUCCUCAAUGCAGUGAUUCGGUUAUAAAACCCUGGCGAUUUCAAGGCGAUGGUCUAUUGAAUUUCAAUCCUCUUUUGAGAUUGAUUCAACUUCCUUGGGUGACUGGAUUCAGUAUUCGAACAAGAGAACAGAAUACAUUUUUAAUGAGUGUACAAAUCGGACAGAAUAGUUCAACUGUUUUUGAGAUUAAAGACGGUAAGGUUAUUGUCACUCUCGAUGGAAUGGAAAUUAUAAGUACUUGGAUAAAAAUUGCCGAUGGUGAAUGGCAUCGAAUUGAAGUUAUCUGGCAAAGUGGACAAGUGUCACUUGAUAUUGAUUUUCGUAAUCGACCGAUUAUUGCAUCUUUGCUUGCUAAAUUACAUGGAUUGUAUAUUGGAAAAAUUCUCAUCGGUGGUGUUGAUGAGACAAUAUCGACAGAUCAGCCAUUUUUCAGUGGAUGUAUUCAGGAUGUGCGAAUUGGAACAAAUCAAACGAUUCUCCAGGAACCGACUAUAGAGCGAAAUGUCUACAAUGAUUGUAUAAGUCACGAAGAAUGUCGAUCGGAUUGUCCAGAGACGGCAAUUUGUGUGAAAAAAUGGGAAGCAAGUGAAUGCGAAUGUGGCAAAGGACACGUGGGUCAAAAUUGCGAACGUGUCUGUGAUGUAAAUCCUUGUAGUGAUUCUGGAAGUUGUGUGGAAGAUUUUUAUCUAGAAAGAGGAUAUAAAUGUGAAUGUAAUUCAGCGGAAUAUUCCGGUGAAUAUUGCGAAGUGAAAGCUGAUCAACCAUGUCCGUCGAAUUGGUGGGGUUCGCCAGUUUGUGGUCCGUGUGAUUGUGACGAAUCAAGGGGUUAUGAUCCCUCUUGCAAUAAAACAACUGGCGAAUGUUAUUGUAAGGAGAAUCAUUAUCAAUUACCAGGUCAAGAUGAAUGCAUUCCCUGUGAUUGUUAUUUGACCGGAAGUUUUAGUCCUCGUUGUGAUGCGGAAAAUGGACAAUGUCCCUGUAGACCAGGCGUCAGUGGAAGAUCGUGUACAGCUUGUCCAACAGCUUUGGCUGAAGUGACACUCGAAGGUUGUCAAGUUGUUUACACAGGUUGUCCAAGAUCCUAUGCACAGGGACUCUGGUGGAAUCGAACCGAUUUUGGAUCAAUGGCUUUGGCUCUUUGUCCAGGCAAGGCUAUUGGUAAAGCAUCGCGUUCCUGUGAUGAUGAACUCACUAGUUGGCAACCACCUGAUUUAUUCAAUUGUACUUCUGAAGCUUUUAUUAAAUUGCGAGAAAAAUUGGCAGAUCUGGAGAUUAAAUUGAAAAUAUUGAAUACCUAUGAGGCUAUACAAACGGCGAAUGAUUUACAUUAUGCAAUGAGUAUUACGAAAAAUAUGUAUGGAGCCGAUGUAUUGGUUGCUGAAUCAUUAUUGACAAUGUUAUUGCAUUAUGAAGAAAGUUUACAUGGUUUAAAUUUAACUCACAGUCAAGAUAAGGAUUAUGUUUUUCAUUUAAUCAGCAUUGCCGGUGAAGUAUUGAGAGCGAAACAUCUUGAUAGUUGGAGUAGAAUUGAAUCUCUUACAGAAAAUGGACCAGAGACUAUUUUAGAAGCAAUGGACAAUUAUUUGAAAACUUUAACAGCUUCACAGCAAGAUACAUUCACGAGUCCUUUUGAAGUUGUCAAUCCUAACGUUGUUCUUGGUUUGGAUGUUAUUACAUCGGAAAGUUUGUACGGUUUUGAGGCAAUGGAAUACAAGGAAGAUCCAACGAUUUCAACAUCGAGACCAUUUGAUGCUGAUAAAAGAGUUGUUCUUCCAGAUACAUCAGCAUUUUUAACAACACCAAAUCAUCUCGGUCAAUCAGUUGGUUUUCCAAAGUACAACAAUUAUAUGGCUGAUCCAAAAAAAUUUGAUCCAUACUCCAAAGUUCAUGUACCAGUAAAACUUUUGGGAAUCAAGACCGUUGAUCAUGGUGAUCUUAAUGUAAAAAAUAGUUUGAAUGGAGGAAAAGCAAUUUUGAGUUAUGUUCAAUAUCGAGAAUUGGGAGCAUUAUUGCCUCGCAGAUUUGAUGACUCAGUGACUGUUAGAUGGGGCGUUGAAGUAGCAGUUGGUUCUCCAAUUAUAACCGUAUCAGUUUUAAUUCCAUCGGAAAAUGGAUAUAAAUCUCUGAGUGGCGUUCCCCUUCAAUCGCCAGUUCAAGUUCGUUUAUGGCUCAGCGAAGAUGAUGGUUCGAAAACACGAACAAAUCCUCAAUGUGUACAUUGGAGUACAGCAAGAGGAUUUGGCGAAUGGAGUCGAAUGGGCUGCACAACAGAGAUUGAUGAUGACACAAAUAUCAAGGAAGGACGAAUGGUGAAUUGUUCAUGUGUAACAUUAUCGACAUUUGCCGUUUUAACUGAUGUUUUAGAUCUUGAAUAUGUGCCAGAACCAUCGUUACUUGAGGAUGUGACGAGUUAUAGUGCUUUUAUGCUCGCUUUACCAUUAUUAUUGUCAGCUUUACUUAUUUUGGCAUUGAUCCGUGGAACUGCAACCAAUUCAAAUAGUAUUCACAAGAAUUUAGUAUUCUGUGUAUUUAUUGCUGAAUUAUUAUAUUUAAUUGCAUUAAAAGCAAGAAAUCCACUUGUUGCAAAUGAAUUUCCCUGCAAGCUUAUUGCCAUUGGAUUACAUUACACUUGGCUUAGUGCAUUUGCUUGGACUUUAGUCGAUUCUAUUCAUUUGUAUAGAAUGUUGACUGAAAUGAGAGACGUGAAUCAUGGUCAAAUGAGAUUUUAUUAUACAAUGGGCUAUGGAUUCCCGGCAAUUAUUGUUGGCUUAAGCAUUGGUGUUCGAGCUGAUCAAUAUGGAAACUUUUACUUUUGCUGGCUGUCAAUUUAUGAAACAGUGAUUUGGGCAAUGAUUGGUCCAAUAUGCAUUGCGAUUUUCUUUAAUUUUUGCAUAUUGAUAAUGUCCGUUCGCGCGGCAUUUACACUAAAGGAACAUGUCUUAGGUUUUGGAAAUCUAAGAACUCUUUUGUGGUUGUCGGUUGCUUCAUUGCCAUUGCUAGGUGCCACAUGGACCCUGGCUGUUCUCAGUGCCUCGGAAAAUUCGCCUACAUUAUCUUAUGUAUUUAGCGUUGCCAUUGUCAUUCACGCUGCCUUUAGUCUAAUUGGCUAUUGUUUUAUCAACAGUCGUGUUAGGAGAAAUUUGUAUCUAAGUAUAUUGAGAUGUCUUGGAAAAAAGACUCCACUUUUGGAGGGUAGCGUGGGAAAUGCAAGUAGCAAUCAGAAUAUAAAUAGCCAUUCGCGAUCUGCAUUGGCAUAUUCCUCAGCGUACAGCGGAACGGAAUCCGUGUGUAGGAGAGUUCACGUUGGAAUUUCAACAAGUAGUACAACUUCAAGAAGUACAAAUAAGACUGGUUCGAGUCCUUAUCGAAGUGACGCGCAUCUUCGUCAUACAUCAACAUCCACGAGCAAUUAUAAUAGUGAUCGCGAUCCGUAUACGUCGUCCAGGGGUCAACAUUCAAAUUUACAUUCUCGACAAGAAGGCGGUGAUCAACGUAGAGACUCGGAAUCCGAUUCGGAUGGCUCGCAAGCCGAUGGAGGAGGCGGUAGAAGUUUAGAUUUAGCAAGUUCACACAGUUCGGAUGAUGAAGAUGUCACUUCAAAAUCGCACAAAAAUAUAGGCGUCUCAACGCAACAACCAGUAACGCACAGCUAUCUUCCGAAUAUUCACAGUACUGCCACUGAACAUUUGAACAUUAUUUGUUCAAAUACAGAACUAUUUCCGAAUAUCAAGCCAAUUUAUGCUCCAAGGUGGAGUUCACAGCUACCUGAAGCAUAUCUGCCAUCAAAUGUAGAUAUUCGUGGAAGUCAAUGGUCGGGCGGUACAAUUUCGGACAAUGAAAUAGCCUCAAAUAAAACGUCAAGUCCAAAUCCGUUGCCUUAUCCUGAUAUAAAUUCGCCUAUGAAGAUGAAUCAGAUGGAUGAAAAUUGUUCCGAGGUGGAGGAGAAAUUACAUCAUGUCGGUGAAAAAUAUCUUUUUCCUUAUACAGCUGAAGAAGAUCAUACAGUGUCACCAACGCCAUAUUUAUUGUCAAUGUCAUCGAGAAUAUUAAAUUCAAGUAUGAGUCAUCAUUCACAAAAUUCAAAUCAUGAAAAUAUAAGUGGUGGUUCUGAGAGAUAUGGUAGUUUAAAGAGAGGACAAAGUUUACAUGGUUCGCAACAUGAUAAUUUGAAUGGUAAUAAUACAGAUAGAUAUGGAAGUUUAAAACGUGGAAAAAUAACACCGACAGUAUUGGAGGGUAAACCCGAAUAUAUUUUGCCAAUGAGCGAUAGAAUAUUAGCUAGUUCACUUACUCAUGAUUUGCAAUAUAGCAAUGAAUUAGCUGCACUCAGAGAACAACAACAACCAGAAUAUAAACAAACUAUCGCCGAGGCAGAAUGGUGUUGGAACGUUCUUAACUAACUGUAUUGUCUUUUCUGUAUUCUGCUUUCCUCAACGAAUGAUGCGAUACUUCAGUGAAGAGGAAGGAUAUUAAUGCUGAAACGUCCGUCUGACAAUCUUCACUUACAAAAAAAAAAAGAAAAAAAAAUCGUACAAAGAAAUAUUUUAGAGUAUCCAUUUUACAAAAAAAAGUAUAAAAAAAAGUUUUAGCAUUAUAAUAAUAUAUUUUAGGCAGUGGCCAUGACUGUGCUUUAAUGCGUAGCCAUAUAAUGAUUAGCAAAGUAUGUGUGAGUGCCUAUUUGUAUUAACUUCGCAAAAAGAAAAGCUUAAAUAUUUCUACUUUGAUAUUAAUUAAUAAUUAUAAGUAAACAUGAAUUUUCUUUUUGAUAAAGCUCAUUUUUAGAAAUCCGGAUUCGUCGUUGACAAUUGUCUGCACACUGUAGGUAAAAAAAAGUAUGUAUGAUGAUGAAUGUAUGUAUGUAAGUAAAUUGAUAAGACUGGAUUCUUUUAUAUUAAAAAAAACAAAACAAAGAAAUUCAGUUUUGAUCAACUAUAUAAGUAUUAAUUGCAAUCAAAUUCUCGACUGAAAGACAAUUGUAUUUAAACGAAUUCCGGUGUAAACUCAUGAUCUCUAGCUCAUUUUGUCUUGUGUAUGUACUUAAUAUUUGUAAAACUUUGUACCUUACUUUUUGUAAUUCAGUACUGUGCAAUGUAUACAUUCCCAGUGAUUUUUUUUAUAUAAUUAUUUAAAGUUUUUCCAUUUCUCUUUUUACAUGCCAAGCAAAUUCGUAAAAAAGAAAGGGAGAAAAAAAACGAAACUUAUAAUAAGUGUCAUAUAAUACUCAAAAAAAAACUUUUUGUAUAUAUUUAUAUACGAAGAAAUUCGAAAAAAUACAAAUAAUUUAUAUAUACCUUGAAAA